AGACCCGAAACCCGGUGAUCUAGCCAUGGGCAGGUUGAAGGUUGGGUAACACUAACUGGAGGACCGAACCGACUAAUGUUGAAAAAUUAGCGGAUGACCUGUGGCUGGGGGUGAAAGGCCAAUCAAACCGGGAGAUAGCUGGUUCUCCCCGAAAGCUAUUUAGGUAGCGCCUCGUGAAUUCAUCUCCGGGGGUAGAGCACUGUUUCGGCUAGGGGGCCAUCCCGGCUUACCAACCCGAUGCAAACUGCGAAUACCGGAGAAUGUUAUCACGGGAGACACACGGCGGGUGCUAACGUCCGUCGUGAAGAGGGAAACAACCCAGACCGCCAGCUAAGGUCCCAAAGUCAUGGUUAAGUGGGAAACGAUGUGGGAAGGCCCAGACAGCCAGGAUGUUGGCUUAGAAGCAGCCAUCAUUUAAAGAAAGCGUAAUAGCUCACUGGUCGAGUCGGCCUGCGCGGAAGAUGUAACGGGGCUAAACCAUGCACCGAAGCUGCGGCAGCGAACGUAUCACCCAAGACAACUUUACGGAGUUGACGAUUGACGGAGCGAAGCGACGUCAAAGCGUUCAUUAAAGUCGAGUUGGCUUAGGGAUACGUUCGUUGGGUAGGGGAGCGUUCUGUAAGCCUGUGAAGGUGUGUCGUGAGGCAUGCUGGAGGUAUCAGAAGUGCGAAUGCUGACAUAAGUAACGAUAAAGCGGGUGAAAAGCCCGCUCGCCGGAAGACCAAGGGUUCCUGUCCAACGUUAAUCGGGGCAGGGUGAGUCGACCCCUAAGGCGAGGCCGAAAGGCGUAGUCGAUGGGAAACGGGUUAAUAUUCCCGUACUUGGUGUUACUGCGAAGGGGGGACGGAGAAGGCUAUGUUGGCCGGGCGACGGUUGUCCCGGUUUAAGCGUGUAGGUGUGUGUUCCAGGUAAAUCCGGUUCACUUUAACACUGAGGCGUGACGACGAGGCACUACGGUGCUGAAGCAACAAAUGCCCUGCUUCCAGGAAAAGCCUCUAAGCAUCAGGUAACAUCAAAUCGUACCCCAAACCGACACAGGUGGUCAGGUAGAGAAUACCAAGGCGCUUGAGAGAACUCGGGUGAAGGAACUAGGCAAAAUGGUGCCGUAACUUCGGGAGAAGGCACGCUGACACGUAGGUGAAGUGAUUUACUCAUGGAGCUGAAGUCAGUCGAAGAUACCUGCUGGCUGCAACUGUUUAUUAAAAACACAGCACUGUGCAAACACGAAAGUGGACGUAUACGGUGUGACGCCUGCCCGGUGCCGGAAGGUUAAUUGAUGGGGUCAGCGUAAGCGAAGCUCCUGAUCGAAGCCCCGGUAAACGGCGGCCGUAACUAUAACGGUCCUAAGGUAGCGAAAUUCCUUGUCGGGUAAGUUCCGACCUGCACGAAUGGCGUAAUGAUGGCCAGGCUGUCUCCACCCGAGACUCAGUGAAAUUGAACUCGCUGUGAAGAUGCAGUGUACCCGCGGCAAGACGGAAAGACCCCGUGAACCUUUACUAUAGCUUGACACUGAACAUUGAGCCUUGAUGUGUAGGAUAGGUGGGAGGCUUUGAAGUGUGGACGCCAGUCUGCAUGGAGCCGACCUUGAAAUACCACCCUUUAAUGUUUGAUGUUCUAACGUGGACCCGUAAUCCGGGUUGCGGACAGUGUCUGGUGGGUAGUUUGACUGGGGCGGUCUCCUCCUAAAGAGUAACGGAGGAGCACGAAGGUUGGCUAAUCCUGGUCGGACAUCAGGAGGUUAGUGCAAUGGCAUAAGCCAGCUUGACUGCGAGCGUGACGGCGCGAGCAGGUGCGAAAGCAGGUCAUAGUGAUCCGGUGGUUCUGAAUGGAAGGGCCAUCGCUCAACGGAUAAAAGGUACUCCGGGGAUAACAGGCUGAUACCGCCCAAGAGUUCAUAUCGACGGCGGUGUUUGGCACCUCGAUGUCGGCUCAUCACAUCCUGGGGCUGAAGUAGGUCCCAAGGGUAUGGCUGUUCGCCAUUUAAAGUGGUACGCGAGCUGGGUUUAGAACGUCGUGAGACAGUUCGGUCCCUAUCUGCCGUGGGCGCUGGAGAACUGAGGGGGGCUGCUCCUAGUACGAGAGGACCGGAGUGGACGCAUCACUGGUGUUCGGGUUGUCAUGCCAAUGGCACUGCCCGGUAGCUAAAUGCGGAAGAGAUAAGUGCUGAAAGCAUCUAAGCACGAAACUUGCCCCGAGAUGAGUUCUCCCUGAGACUUAGAGUCUCCUGAAGGAACGUUGAAGACGACGACGUUGAUAGGCCGGGUGUGUAAGCGCAGCGAUGCGUUGAGCUAACCGGUACUAAUGAACCGUGAGGCUUAACCUUACA
rnacentral:rRNA from 1 species